UGGGGAAUCUUGCACAAUGGGGGCAACCCUGAUGCAGCGACGCCGCGUGAGCGAUGAGGCCCUUCGGGGCGUAAAGCUCUUUCGACCGGAACGAUAAUGACGGUACCGGGAGAAGAAGCUGCGGCUAACUACGUGCCAGCAGCCGCGGUAAUACGUAGGCAGCAAGCGUUGUUCGGAGUUACUGGGCGUAAAGAGUGCGUAGGCGGUUUUCUAAGUUCGGUGUGAAAUCUCCCGGCUUAACUGGGAGGGUGAGCCGAAGACUGGGAAGCUGGAGUGUGGGAAAGGCAGGCGGAAUUCCUGGUGUAGCGGUGAAAUGCGUAGAUAUCAGGAGGAACGCCGGCGGUGUAGACGGCUUGCUAGACCAUAACUGACGCUGAGGCACGAAAGCGUGGGUAGCAAACA
rnacentral:rRNA from 1 species